GGAGGGGUGCCGGAGCGGACGAACGGACUCGCCUUGAAAGCGAGCGAGGCGCGAGCCUCCGUGGGUUCGAAUCCCACCCCCUCCGCCG
rnacentral:tRNA from 1 species